rnacentral:rRNA from 1 species
GUCUACGGCCAUACCACCCUGAACGCGCCCGAUCUCGUCUGAUCGCGGAAGCUAAGCAGGGUCGGGCCUGGAUGGGAGAAGAACUGAUGUUU